AGUGAACGCUGGCGGUAGGCCUAACACAUGCAAGUCGAACGGCAGCACAGGAGAGCUUGCUCUCUGGGUGGCGAGUGGCGGACGGGUGAGGAAUGCAUCGGAAUCUACUCUUUCGUGGGGGAUAACGUAGGGAAACUUACGCUAAUACCGCAUACGACCUACGGGUGAAAGCCGGGGACCUUCGGGCCUGGCGCGAAAGAAUGAGCCGAUGCCCGAUUAGCUAGUUGGCGGGGUAAGAGCCCACCAAGGCGACGAUCGGUAGCUGGUCUGAGAGGAUGAUCAGCCACACUGGAACUGAGACACGGUCCAGACUCCUACGGGAGGCAGCAGUGGGGAAUAUUGGACAAUGGGCGCAAGCCUGAUCCAGCCAUACCGCGUGGGUGAAGAAGGCCUUUCGGGUUGUAAAGCCCUUUUGUUGGGAAAGAAAAGCAGUCGGUUAAUACCCGAUUGUUCUGACGGUACCCAAAGAAUAAGCACCGCUAAUUC
rnacentral:rRNA from 1 species